UUCGUAGAGUUCACGUACAUAGACUUAUAUCUACGAUUAAGUGUGGAAAAUUGUUUUAUAUGUGCUGUUUUAACUACGUACUUACAUAUUGUAUUGGUAAAUCAAGUACGUGUGUAUGCCAAUUUCUUAAUUCACGAGUUUCACUUCCACUGACACAAGAUGUGAUAAUGCUUUGAGAAUCUUCAUUUUCUUAACCUAUUGACAAAAAAUAUGGCCAAACCAAACAAAUAUGAAAGCUCUAUUCUCAAUGGUAAUAAAGCUUCGGACUAUGCGGAGUAUCUGCCUGGAAGUGAUCCAGAAUAGACAACCAGAAGUGAAUUAAAGCUUUUAAUACCAGAAACAAGAGGACAAACGAAUGUCCAACUGAGACUUUGGCAGUUUUUUUUUUGUUCUUAUAAAUUACCAUAACUGUCAGAAAUAUCAUUAAAUCAUUGAAAGUAAAAUAUAUAACAACUGAAAAUUAAAAACUGGUGAAUUGCCAAACAAUACUGUGGAUUUAAUAACAGAAAAAAGAAAAGGAAUAUUAAUAAUUGUCUGACGUGGAGUGAGAGAUGUUCCUUCUCUCCAUUGUUUUUCUUCCUUUCAUCUCACAUGUUAACUUCAGCAGUGACAGUAAGAGCUUGUACAUCCACUUGCUUCUGGACCUGGACAUAACUGACCUCUGGUCGAUUAGUCAGUGUAAAGUUCGGAAAAGUACUUUUUUGUGACUGUGACGGCAAACGUGGGCUGUGACAUACAGAACACUCGCACUUACGAGUUUCUCGUAGGCCUAUAAACACGCCCUCUUUGUCGACGUUUUGAUCUAUUUUUUGUCUAUAGGUAAAUAAAAUUGGAAAAUAAAAUCAUUACUUAAGA